AGAGGGUGCGAGCGUUAUCGGAAUUACUGGGCGUAAAGCGCGCGUAGGUGGCUUGACAAGUCGGUUGUGAAAGCCCCGGGCUCAACCUGGGAACUGCAUCCGAGACUGUCUUGCUAGAGUAUGGGAGAGGGAAGUGGAAUUUCCGGUGUAGCGGUGAAAUGCGUAGAUAUCGGAAGGAACAUCAGUGGCGAAGGCGACUUCCUGGACCAAUACUGACACUCAAGUGCGAAAGCGUGGGGAGCAAACAGGAUUAGAUACCCUGGUAGUCCACGCCAUAAACGAUGAGAACUGGAUGUCGGGAGGGUCUGCCUCUCGGUGUCGUAGCUAACGCGUUAAGUUCUCCGCCUGGGGAGUACGGCCGCAAGGUUG
rnacentral:rRNA from 1 species